rnacentral:rRNA from 1 species
UACGUAGGGUGCAAGCGUUGUCCGGAAUUAUUGGGCGUAAAGAGCUCGUAGGCGGUCCGUCACGUCCGCUGUGAAAACCCAGGGCUCAACCCUGGGCUUGCAGUGGAUACGGGCAGACUAGAGGUAGGUAGGGGAGAAUGGAAUUCCCGGUGUAGCGGUGAAAUGCGCAGAUAUCGGGAGGAACACCGGUGGCGAAGGCGGGUCUCUGGGCCGAUACUGACGCUGAGGAGCGAAAGCGUGGGGAGCGAACAGG